rnacentral:lncRNA from 1 species
GAUUUUGUCAUGGAACUACGGUAAACGUUGCAAAUUGUGCUUAUAUGAUAAAUUGGUUAAAAAUCAAAGGCCGUCUGACUGAAUUUCUGUUUACAAAUAUUAAUUAAUUUUGAGGAUUGUUAUGACCCAUCAGGUAAUCCGAUUACUUGCAACAACAAAUUAUGACACCUGUUGUGACCGUUGAUUAGCACAGGGUUAAUAUAAACUUGUCAUAAUAUGUCCCCAG